UGGGGAAUUUUGGACAAUGGGGGAAACCCUGAUCCAGCCAUCCCGCGUGUGCGAUGAAGGCCUUCGGGUUGUAAAGCACUUUUGGCAGGAAAGAAACGUCAUGGGUUAAUACCCCGUGAAACUGACGGUACCUGCAGAAUAAGCACCGGCUAACUACGUGCCAGCAGCCGCGGUAAUACGUAGGGUGCAAGCGUUAAUCGGAAUUACUGGGCGUAAAGCGUGCGCAGGCGGUUCGGAAAGAAAGAUGUGAAAUCACAGAGCUCAACUUUGGAACUGCAUUUUUAACUACCGGGCUAGAGUGUGUCAGAGGGAGGUGGAAUUCCGAGUGUAGCAAUGAAAUGCGUAGAUAUGCGGAGGAACACCGAUGGCGAAGGCAGCCUCCUGGGAUAACACUGACGCUCAUGCACGAAAGCGUGGGGAGCAAACAGG
rnacentral:rRNA from 1 species